rnacentral:tRNA from 1 species
GGCCGCGCAGCGGGUGGCUGUGCAGCAGCCGCUGGCAGCGGUUGAGGAGAUCCUCGGAGAGCCGGCCAGGCCGUUCGGCUCCCUCCUCAACCGC